GUCUCCGUGGCGCAAUGGUUAACGUGAGUUUCCGUAACACUGACUAUGGUAUUGACGAGGCUAACAUUUCAUAGGCGUUUGACUGUUAAUCAAAAGAUUGGUGGUUCGAUCCCACCCGGGGACG